rnacentral:rRNA from 1 species
AGAGUUUGAUCCUGGCUCAGGAUGAACGCUAGCGGCAGGCUUAAUACAUGCAAGUCGAGGGGCAGCAGGUUUGUAGCAAUACAGAUGCUGGCGACCGGCAAACGGGUGAGGAACACGUACGCAACUUUCCUUCAAGUGGGGGAUAGCCCAGGGAAACUUGGAUUAAUACCCCAUAAUAUUACGAAGCGGCAUCGUUUUGUAAUUAAAGCUCCGGCGCUUGAAGAUGGGCGUGCGCCUGAUUAGGUAGUUGGCGGGGUAACGGCCCACCAAGCCUACGAUCAGUAACUGGUGUGAGAGCACGACCAGUCACACGGGCACUGAGACACGGGCCCGACUCCUACGGGAGGCAGCAGUAAGGAAUAUUGGGCAAUGGACGAAAGUCUGACCCAGCCAUGCCGGUGGAGGAUGAAGGUCCUCUGGAUUGUAAACUUCUUUUAUCUGGGAAGAAAUCUACGGUUUCCACUGUAGUUGACGGUACCAGAUGAAUAAGCACCGGCUAACUCCGUGCCAG